rnacentral:rRNA from 1 species
UACAGAGGGUGCGAGCGUUGUCCGGAAUCACUGGGCGUAAAGGGCGCGUAGGCGGCUCGGUCAGCGUGCGGUGAAAGCCCGGGGCUCAACCCCGGGUCGGCCGUGCGAACUGCUGGGCUGGAGCACUGUAGAGGCAGACGGAAUUCCGGGUGUAGCGGUGGAAUGCGUAGAGAUCCGGAGGAAGACCGGUGGCGAAGGCGGUCUGCUGGGCAGUUUCUGACACUGAGGCGCGACGAGCGUGGGGAGCAAACAGG